rnacentral:rRNA from 1 species
UAAGCGGAGGAAAAGAAACUAACAAGGAUUCCCCUAGUAACGGCGAGUGAACAGGGAUUAGCCCAGCACCGAAGCCUGUGGCCAUUUGGUCACUAGGCAAUGUGGUGUUCAGGUCGUUUCGCAGAGUCGCUGCUCCACUCCAAGUCCAGCAAUGAGUACGGUAGUACAGACUUGGCCCACAGAGGGUGAAAGGCCCGUGGGGGUGGAGAAUCAGUUGAGACAGUGGCUCUCUGGAUAGACCUUGGAGUCGGGUUGUUUGUGAAUGCAGCCCAAAGUGGGUGGUAAACUCCAUCCAAGGCUAAAUACAAGCACGAGUCCGAUAGCGAACAAGUACCGUGAGGGAAAGUUGAAAAGUACUUUGAAGAGAGAGUAAACAGUGCGUGAAACCGCUCAGAGGUAAACGGGUGGAGUUGAACUGCAAGCCCUGAGAAUUCAGCUGGUGAGUGUGGUUUGGGCUUGGUCAAAUGGGUUGUAAACUGGUGUCCGCCUAGUAGCGGGUCUCUUCUCUCGGGUAGAGAUGCACGAUGCACUUAUCAAGUGUUGUGCGCUCCAGAUAUAUUCGGACCUGCUUGCCAGUGCACUUUCUCGGGGUGUUCACCACGACCGACACUGCUGUCUUGCUAUCUCGGUUAAACCGGUCUUGCAUCGUUCUUGUGGCUUUGCAUGAUCGGGAUGGCAGGUAGCUCGUUGGCUAGUCUGGGGCAACUCAGACAAUUGGCCUUCGGGUGUAAUAAGCUGAUCGAGAUGGUUCUGUGCAGUGUGUCGGAGACGGCGGCUUGUGGUGUGAGCGCGCGUGCCUUGUCUGCGGGCUUGUCCAGGCUUGGUUGCCAUGUUGCUUGUUCUGCAAGCCUGGUGAUGGUUCGGACAGGUUAGUAGACGGUUGCGUGUGUGAUACUUAUCAGGGCCAACAGUCUGUGGUGUAGUGGUAGACUAUCCACCCGACCCGUCUUGAAACACGGACCAAGGAGAGUAACAUGUAUGCGAGUCAUUGGGCUAUACGAAACCUACAGGCACAGUGAAAGUAAAGGUCUGGCUUGUCCGGACUGAGGCGAGAUCCUGUCGUGUCUUACGCGCGGUACCACCAAGCAUUGAGCGGCAGGCGCAUCGCCGGCCCGUCCCAUGGCUUAGUCACUUUGCUUCGUGCGGGUGCACAGUCGGGGCGGAGCAUGAGCGUACACGUUGAGACCCGAAAGAUGGUGAACUAUGCUUGCGCAGGUUGAAGCCAGAGGAAACUCUGGUGGAGGACCGCAGCGAUUCUGACGUGCAAAUCGAUCGUCAAACGUGAGUAUAGGGGCGAAAGACUAAUCGAACCAUCUAGUAGCUGGUUCCCUCC